rnacentral:lncRNA from 1 species
ACCUAAACUGAAGUGUAGCUUAGGGACCCUGACUUCGUUGAUUCUUUAAAUCCCCUCUCCUCGAUCCAGGGCGCAUUUGGAAUCCUGGACCUGGUGCCCCUUCUUAACUUUCACUUCUUUCUUCACAUAUUCAGGGACUGGUCGGGGCUCUACUUUUCCUUUUAAGCAUCAGUCUUGCCUAGUCCCAUGGCUGAAAAAGGCGCCAACAGAGUUGGGAUGUUGAGCGCUGGCUGAGACUCUCACUGACCUCUAUUCAAACUUCCUGCCCUCCAACUGACCCAGUCCCGAGCUGUCUAUGCGUAUGAACCAGGGUUCUGAGAACUAGCGGCUAGAGCUCGGGAAAGGCUACAGCUCGCUGCCUACUCUACCUCGUUGCUGGAGGCGGGAUUCACCCACCAGGCGCUUCGGCCUCGGCGGCGUCCGCUACCUGAAAACAUUGCACUUUGCGAAGUUGUCUACGCAGCUACAGAGGUCCCGAGUCCUUCAGGACUUAGUAUCUUACCCCGCACUCCGGCACCCCCAACCCGAUCCCGGCCGGAGAGUGAGAGAAGCGAGCUCGCCGCCUACUUACUAUGCAUGGAUGCAAACGGGUCGUGCUUACAGUGUAUUUCCAUCGGGGCGCUCCAGACUGUAGGCCGGCCCACGCCGCUGCCUCUCGGCGCCAAAGGACUGCCCAGGGCGCCUAGGGAACCGCGCCACCAGGCCGGGCACAGUGUGAGCAGAGAUCAGAAAACACCUCUGCAGCCGUGGGGUCCCUCUCGGAGCCGCCUGCGGAAGAUCGCGGAGAGCUGAGCCGAGAGGCGGGAAACGGUGCUCUCAGCCAGUCGGUCUGGGAGCGGGCGCCCAACUCCCGCUAGCUUCGCUCCUCGGCGGGCUCAAGCGGCGGCUCCCGGCCCGCACCAGAGAAGCUGCGGCCCAAGCGCUAGCGGCGUCGAGGGCAUAGCGCAGGGGCCCACCUCCAGGACGGCUAGGGGAGCCCGGCGCGGGACCAGCAGCCUGCAGGAGGCCGCGAGCGCAGGGCCCUCCGUCUCAGUCCGGGGCAGCGAGGCCGCGGACUGCCAGGCUGCUUCGGUCUUGCUGCCUCGAGGGUCUGCCCACCCUUCGGCCUCCGCCAGGUCCUUCUUGUUUCCCGCUUCUCCGUGUCUCUGGAGCCGGACCUCCCCUUCCACCUCUCUUCUGUCGGCUCUCUGACGUCUCCGACGAAGUUACAGAGAACUCCCUCUCCUGUCGCGCAGGGGCCGCGGCGGAGUCUGAAAUGCUGCAGCUGCUGAAGCUGGGAGCCCGGUGCGCCCCGAAGCUGCAACCCUCGAAGCCCGGGACCCGCUUGCCUUCAAAGUUCCCGCGGGCCCCGCAGCUCCCGGCCCCUUCGCGCCUGGCUGUGGUUCACGCUACCAACUCUUGGAGCCCCGCUGCCCGAUCUCGGGGUUCCGGGUGGAUUGUCCCUGCCUUGCCUCUUCCGGGACAGCCGCCGCGUCUGCCCAGCGUGGAGCGAGGGGUGCAGAGAGGAUGAGGGUCCCUGCCGCCCGGACCGCCGGGGCCGCCGAGGCUGUCGGUGCUGAGAUGAAGCCCCUGCCGGCUCUAAUGCCUGCUCUGCCGCCGCCGCCGCCGGCGCUAGCCCUCCGCCUGUUCGGCGCGCACAGUGCGCCACCGCGCCGCCCCGAAGCCGCUUUCAGGACCCGCUGCGUGUGGACAGCGCCGCCCGGGGCUCAGCCUCCCUCCGGGCGGGGGCGGGGCGAGAGCUCACCUGCCAAUCAUGCCCCAUCAAGCCAAUCAGAACAGGGGCAUCCGGCCCUAGCCCGAUAUACUGCCCUAUUGGCUAAGCAACCCACGGGCUCCGCCUGAUUAGCCGGUACCUGGGCAAUGGGAGAGAAUGGGGGGCGGGGCCCAAGCUGCGGCGCCACGUUCAUUGACAAACGCGUGGGGAGAAGGCCUAGUGGUUCUCGGGUGGAAAAGGGGUAGAGAGAGAACAGAGCCCACGCAGUGUCUGGAGAGCCAUGCUCUUGGUCCCACAGAGCCGACCUUUCGGAGGGCCGUCGAGAUUUUAGGAUGCGCUUAGAGACUGGGAGCAACCGAGACAGGGUCGAAGAAGAGUAAGGAUGGGAGAGAGAUCUCCAGAAUGAAAAGAAAAAACAAAAAACAAAAAUAGAAAAACAUCCACAGAUUUUAGAGGUAGACGUUCAGCACAAUAGAGAUCCGAUUUUCGGUCUAGGCGGCAGAUUUCUGUGUGUAUAUCUGCCGCUUUAGACCUCACUUUGCUCCUCUGUAAAAUGGGCAGAGUUUAGUAAAGAAGUCUUUGAUGCUGGUUCCUUCC